UACAGAGGGGGCAAGCGUUGUUCGGAAUUACUGGGCGUAAAGGGCGCGUAGGCGGCCCGCUAAGUCGAACGUGAAAUCCCUGGGCUCAACCCAGGAACUGCGUCCGAUACUGGCGGGCUUGAAUCCGGGAGAGGGAUGUGGAAUUCCAGGUGUAGCGGUGAAAUGCGUAGAUAUCUGGAGGAACACCGGUGGCGAAGGCGGCAUCCUGGACCGGUAUUGACGCUGAUGCGCGAAAGCUAGGGGAGCAAACGGGG
rnacentral:rRNA from 1 species